CAUGCACACGGAGAUGAUGAUGACCACUGUGGCGAUGCUUGGGACCACUGGAACAAGGAAGGAAUCCACGUGACAUGGUGAACGGAAGGACUAGCUCAGUCUUGGGAUGGCGUGUGAAUGAAACAUCCAUGUCUUUUCUCCUGAUUAUCACAACAAUACACGCUCACUGUAGAGCCUUUUGCAUUUGCCACAAACUGAACAGGAACAAAGAGAAAUGGGCUCUUACGCUUCUUGGAGAACAGCACGGUUAGCAUUAGCCUUUUCUUCCUGGCAUUUUUCUGAGUAUGUGUCGGUACUCUGUAAUUUGCAUCUUGCCCUCUUUCGUCCACCAUUUGGUAAGUGCCCUCCCUCCAACAUCCUAACACAUGGGUAUACGGGCAGACCCCAAUUUGCCAAGUGGUUCAUUUCCCACCUGUUACUUAUCUGCGUUGUUUCCAGGUUGUUUGCUUUGCUAUUAGAAAUUCCCUGCUGUGGUGAAGAGCGCUGUUGUUCUCAAGCGUGACCUGACGCGACUGUGAGGACUGAAGGCUCCCACCCCACAACCCAGUGUGCAUCCGUACCUGUGGCCUUCGGCUCACCCGGGGUCUCCGCUUUGGCGAAGGUGCUCACGAUCUUGAUGUCGGGGAAGAGGGUCACCCCUCUGGCACUUUCAAACUGGGCGGCGGGUCUCCAGAGGCGGUCCGUGCCACGGAGGCUGAUCUGGGGCUCGAUGGCCUGCAGCACCAUCACAUAGGCAUCCACGUCGGGGACGCUGAUGCACACAUCUUCUCCAAAGCACCUGGGAAAACAGCUGCAGUCACGGCACUGACGAGCGAGUGAUAAAACCAUACAUCGCGCGGCUGUGGACAAGGAUCCACGCAGCCAUCUCUCGUUCUCAACAAGGUAUCCUGACUGCCUCAGAGUCUCUGACUGUGUCAACAGACAUUCAGAUUUAAAGCCACAUUAAAGUCAAAGCCAAUAGCAAUCUAGGGGCCUAGGAAGAUCGGCUUCUGGGAGAAAUGGGAAUCUUCGAUACCAGCAACAAGUAACUGUUAAACCUUUAAUUAUCCUUUAACAAAGUAAUCAGUGGCAACAUGAAUUAGAUAGCAACUGCUUCAGAUGUGCAUUAGGAUUUGGUAAGCAAAUUGUUGUCUAACUGGUCGAGGAGCGGCACCUUGCUGAGACCCCGGGGCUAAACUCUCCUGUGCUUUUGUGUGUUUUCUCUCUCUGAGGCCAUCUCACAGUGUCCCUGUUGCAGCUGUGGUGCUGCUGACCACAUUCCUUCCUCCUGAUGCACGGCCACAGAAAUAUCCAGAAGGCAGAAUGGUGUGACAACACAAGCAAGGCCUGGGAAGUUAGAUAAGGGUCCAUGGCCUGGCUCUGCCACCACUGGGCUGGGUGACUGUGGGCAAGGUACGACUCCUGUGAACCUCAGUUUCUCCAUCUAUACAAUGGUGAUGACAAUAAUUAAUUACCUUUUAGUAGGAAGGAUUCAAGGUGAUGACGUACAGAAAAGAGGCUGACCCCAGAACCUGCACCGUGGAGCUCAUGCAUCAUGUUGGCGGAUCCAACACCCUUAUCACACUCUGUCACUGGAACUCUAUCACUCAUCUAGGCAAAGACAGAGGCUAUAAUGGCGGCCCAGAUGGUUGCUCUGAGAACGCUGAGUUGACUCCAGCUGUGGCGGCCAUCAGCUUGUAUCUCUUGGGAAAGUUCCUGAGAGAAGUGCAGUCUGGGUGGACAUCAUGCUGAGCCACAUCUUCUUUGGGGUGGGCCAGAUGUGGGAGUGGUGGUUGUCUCCUGCUCCCGACUUUGGCCUUUGCUGCACCAACCCUGGAAGGUACCCUGUCCCUCAUCAGUUUAUGGAAACCUGGUCCCAGAGGUAGAGACUGGCCAGCCUAGUCCCUCUACUUGACUGCAGCUGACCCGGAGGUGCUUGCUCCCUGGUGCAGGCCUCCAAGGGUGGCCCUUAGUGUGAAGGUGGAUGCACCUUCUCUGUCACUACAACUAUUCAAUCUAAUUGCUGCCUAAUCUAAUGGCACCUAUCCCAGGGCCCAGUAAUGUGGCAGUCAGCAGCCUCAUUCUUCCCUGCCUUGUUCCUGGCCUUCUGGGUUCUUCUCCUGGCUCCAGGGGCUGGGUGACUCCACUCCCACCUCUCAGGAGUUUUUCUGGGGGUCCCCCCUUUGCUGCCCUCCCAGGCAGUUGCUGUGGCUGAGAGAUGACUUGACAGGCCAAGAAGGGAGGUAGCCACAGAUUUCACUAAUAAACGGUCGCAUCUCCUUAAUUGAACUCUGAUUCCCUGGGGACAAGAACCACACCCUCUUUUCACACUCAUGGUACUUAGGAGAUCUCUACAAAGCUGGGUGAUUUGAAGCUAAUUUAAUAAACAUUUGUUAAGCACCUGUGUACCCACCAGCUACGGUACCCUGAGAUCAGACCACUUAAAACCAAGCUUUCUGAGAAUUUACAGAAAGCAGUACUACAUCAGAUUCUGAAUUAAAUGGAGAAUGCUGGAUUGGUGUUGACAAAGCAAUAGAACAUUUUCUUUAAGAACAACAAGGGGAGAACACUGAUUCACUGGGGCACCCUCACAGGGACAGCAGAGAAAUUGAGAAUUAGCUGAAGAAAGGUGAAUUCUGUUUUGCCAGGGAGCAUGCCCCAUCCCUGCCGCCUCACCUGGGCCCCUAGUUGACCAGCACCUGUCUACUCACUGGACUUUGGAAGAGACUCUCAGGCGCCGCACACCUGCCGUCGGGAACUGCCUGGAGUUGAUGUAGGAGACCUUCUGGAGGGCACGAUUGAUGUUCCCAAUAUCGUCACCUUCCAUCACCAGGACGGACUGCGAGGGGUUGAAGUGGUACUAGAGGAGGAAAGGGGCAUCAUGGGGGAGAAUGAUCAGCGACGGAGCCCUCCACCUCCAUGGACCACAAAGGCCUGGUGUCUCCAGAGCGUCUGCAAGGGCAGCAGCCAUGAGCACAGAUGAGUGUUUUAACCCCUCAAACAAUUCCUGCUCCGCCCCGCCCCCCUGGCAGGGCUUCCAGGCCUCCCCUUUAAGACCUUUAGGGGUUAUAAACUCCAAAGCCAUAGCAUAAGAUUCUGGAUCCCCAUCACAGGUCUCUUGUGAUCUAGCCCUUGCAGGGUGGCCCAUGCUCUGUGCUGCUGUGGGGUCCUGACCAGCCUUUCAGCCCUUAGACAGACUGCCCCCUCAGCUGAGUGCCUGGAAACUUGGGGUUUUGCUCCUUUCACUGGUCUUGUCUUUGGCCUUGAACUCCUCCUCAGUUCACCCUGUGCUCCCCUUCCUGAUUCAUGGCCAUCUUCUUAGCUUCUGACCUUAAAGCUCAUUUUUUAGUUAACGGCUCUCCUUAUAUCUGAUUCCUGGUCUUUUUUUUCCUGGUGCUCCACUCUGCCUUCCCAAGAGUUUUGCUCACUUUCUGUUUACACUCUUGCCAGCUGUCCCAGGUCUGUUAUCUGUUCAUUUCACUCAGAGUCCCUGGUAUCCCAUACUUGGUGAAGGCCCCGGGGCUAUAAUGCUCUCCACCAAGUCACUUGAGUCCUCAAGACAGAUAAACCAGAUACAGACUUCUGCUUCUCUCUGCAAAGCCCGAGCAGUUACUCUUCUCCAAAUGGAGCACAGAGAACUGCUUUGGUGCUGGUCUGACUUACUGAUCUUCACAUGCUUCUGAGCAGGAAUUAUUAGGAACUGUUGUCAGUAAGAUGUCAGGAGCUUAUCAGUGCAUUCAGAUUAUGUAUCCAAAGUUCAUAUCAGAGGAACAGGAGAUCUGGUUAUCUAUCUAUCUGUCCAUCUAUCUAUCAUCUCUACACCCAACAUGGGGCUUGAACUCACAACCCUGAGAUCAGAGUCACAUGCUCUUCUGACUGAGCCACCCAGGCACCCCUGAUCUGGAUAUAUUUUUAUGCCAACAUUUUUUUGGAUAAUAUAUUCACAUAAUUCAAAUAUAUAUAUGUUCUAAGUGAAAGUGUCCAUCUUAUUCCUAUCUCUUACCCAGUUUCCAAUAUCCUGUCCCACAAGUAAUCAGUGUUCUAUUACUUUCUUAGUGGCAAAUUGCAUUAUUGUUCAUGAUUACCUGCUUCCCCUCCCAGUGGGAGGCUUAUACAUGCCUGACCUAUUGUCAGUAGACUUGAUUAUGUGACCUAUGGAACCAUUCCCUGCAAGACACACAUUUUUCCCUUUUGUAGUCAGUAGUGGUCAUGUGACUUGCUUGGCCAAUGAAGUGUGGGCAGAAGUAUUACUUGGUUCACACUCAUGUAGACGAUUUCACAGCUAGUUCAUGGUUUGCCAUGUCCCUUUCCCUCUGCCAUGAAACCUGCCAAGUUCCCUUAGGGUCUGGUCCAGCAGCCUGGUCUCACAGUGCUGGUGAUAUGGAUCUGAGCUGAAGCCAAUCUAUGUAAUGGACAUUAGGUGUGAACAAUGACAACAAAAAGUUGGAUAAGCCACUGAAAUGUUUAAGUCACUUGUUAGAGCAGCAUGACCUAGCCUACCCUGAAAGUUAUAUGUAAGCAUUCUUAGGAAUAUAGAUUUCCUUUUUUCUCCUUUCUUCAACCAAAAGUAGCUUUUUACAUACUUUAUCGUACUUUGUUUCUUCACUUAGCUCAAAUCUUGGAGAUCUUUCUGUAUCAGUACAUCAUAAACUUUUUUUUAUAGUUGUAUAAUAUUCUACUGUGUAAUUUUUUCAACCAGUUUGUUACAUUUGGAUUAUUGCCAUUCUUUUACUAAUAGUUCCACAAUGAAUAAUCUUGUACACAUUUCAUAUGUAUGCAAAUAUCUAUGUAUUGGAUAAAUCCCUCCAUGUGAAGUUAUUAGGUCCAACAGUCUAUGCACUUUUAAGUUUGGACAAAUGUUGCCUAAUUCCCCCUUGCUAGGGAUUAUAUAUGUCAACACAGGCUCCCUCUCCCAGCAUAUGGGAAUGCCUCUUUUCUCAAAACCUCAACAACAGAAUAUGCUGUCAUUUGAGAUUUUUGCCAGCCUGAUAGGUGAUAGAUGCUACCUUCAUGUAGUUUUAAUUUACCAUUUAGUGUAGGUUUAAUCUUACCAGGAAGGAGACGGAGUAUGUUUUCAGGGGAUUAAGGAAAAAUCCAUCUGUAUGAACUUUUCCCUGACUUGGAUGCCUUUUUAAGAGUUCCCUGUUCUGUGUCUGGAGGGUAAAACGAAGUAGAUGUCCCAUGAGCACUAUUGAUGAUACUGACCCGCAUACAGUCUUGCAGCGUGGCCCCUAGCCAAUCAAUAGCUUCCACUUUGCCUCCUUCAACUAUCAUUUGAGUAUUUUGUUACCUCCUCCUUGAGGCCACCCCAACUUCACUCAUUUACGUCCCCACUGGGCUCCUCUAGUGCUUUUCAAAUGGCAGUAUAAUUACUGUAGUACAGUGACCACGAGCUCACAGAAGACAAGGACUCCAACUCCUAUCCCUGAAUUCCAGAACCUAGCCCUAGUGCCCUAUAAUCCCAUCAGAUGAAUGAGUGAAUGUUCCCCCUUGGCCCACAUUCUACUCCUAUCACCUCCAGGUUACUCUCCAAAAGGACUUUUUUUCAGUCACUGUUUCCAUAGUCAUGGCUCUGUGGGAGUCAUCAGUGCUUGCUAAACCCUGUUCACCUCUGCAUCCUUGGCAUCCUGGAGGCUACACUUGCAAAGGCCUCCUGCUGUGUGUGGGAGGGCCACGUGACCACAUCUGGCCAAUGAGGUGUGAGAGGAAGUGAGGCGGGGCUUCCGGGCUGGGGUAGUCAAAGCCCCCUGGAAUGCUCUAGCCUUUUUCUUCCUCCCCUUUGGUGGCUCUGGCGUUGUAGGCGGAAGCCCCACACUGCCUCCCUGGCUUGAUGUCAGAGAAAAAUAAACUUUUAAGCAUUAAAACCAUAGGGAUUUUGGAGUUAUUUGCUACUGCAAUCGUUUUAAACCCAUUUGGAAAAAUUGAACUCCUCCCAGGCAGGAUUCUCGCUUACCUAAGUCUAUGUGGCAUCUUUGAAAGAUCAUGGGCUGUGCGGGUUGCAGUACCCCAGUUACAGUACAGACUACAGGAUACAACAACUUUGGACUACUUGCCCUUUCCAGAUUUUAUCUCCUCAUUUAAAGUAAUGGGGAUAUUAAUACCUGCCUGUCUGGGGCUUAAAUGAGAUAAUGUAUAUAAUGAAUCUAGUGUGUAAAGGGUGUUCAGUCCUAGAUAGCUUUUAUUAUAAUUCUUAACAUUGUAAUUAUUUCUGCCCUGAGUCUUGGCCCACACAGGUAUACCGCAGCCUUCACUACUCCUCUUAUCCUAUGAUCCAGUUCCCUUCUGCCCUCAGUGCCCUGAGCAGGGUCUCUCUGAUCUGGGAGAUCAGAGCACCAACCCCUCUGUUGGGUGUGGGAGCCCCGGAUAUAUGUGCAGGUGAUGAUGCCACAGUCAUCUUUUCAGUUGGCGUCUCCCUUGCUGUGGAUGACUCACUAGCUUAGUGUGCUCAGCCAUAGAGCUGCCCUGUUCUGAGUGUUUUGUAAGUCAUUCGGAGAUUCAAGUUCAUUCUUCUAAAAUACCACUUCUGUUCCCAUGUGUUUUUAUGCCCCCCUACCUCCCCACAACCCUGCCCUGCACCAUCCCUGCUAUAGCAGAGUCAUGGAGCUGUUGUUGUCUGUCUCCCCCAGCCAACUGUGAGCACCUCCAGGGCAGGGUCUAUAGACUUUUCCUCACUGUCACCACAGGGUCUAGCACACGAGACACAGGAGAUGGAAUAAUAAGCCCUGCAGAGGUGGCGGAUCUCUAAGCUUCACACAAGGGCUGAACAGGAACCUCAAACAGUUCUUCCAGAGGCUCUUAGCAGCAGCAUACUGUGGCAAUCAGCAGGGGGCACAUUCCCACCACAGCCACCUAAGGAGGGGAUGGGUUAGGCCAUGUGUUGGAUCUCCAAUUAAUACCCUAGUUUGGCUGCCUGACCAUCCCCAGAGCUGCCACAGGGCAUGAAGGUGGGCACUGGACUAGCAAUAAAUUUCGUGCAGGAUCAACAAAACCUUCUACCAAACUAGUUUUUUUAAAUUUUCUUAAUGUUUGUUUAUUUUUGAGAGAAAGAGAGAGACAGAGCGUGAGCAUGGGAGGGGCAGAGAGAGAGGGAGACACAGAAUCCGAAGCAGGCUCCAGGCUCUGAGCUGUCAGCACAGAGCCUGAAGCAGGGCUCAAACUUCCCAAAUGUGAGAUCGUGACCUGAGCCGAAGUUGGACGCUUAACCGACUGAGCCACCCAGGCGCCCAUGUUUUGUUUGCUUUAAAUUGUAGUGUUACUAAACAUAAAGAAUUAAAAAAAAAAUCAGGUUCUGUCUCUGUCUCUUUGCCCCUCCCCUGCUCUCUCUCUCUCUCUCUCUCUCUCAAAUAUAAAACAUAAAAAUUUAAAUUGCAGUGUUACCAACCCUGUGGCAUGACUGAGGUUAGGUCUCUGUGUAAGACACACAGUGGCAUUAGCAUUACACAGGGACAGGAGAUGGCUUCCUGGGAACCCAGCAAGAGGUGAUAGCAGCCACCUUCCUUUAGGAAGCUGUGCUGUGGCCAUGGUGAUUCCUUUCUUUGAGCUAAGAAACUACUAGACAUCCCCAAAGCUAUGGCCUUUGGGAAUAGUCAGUUCUCUUAGAGGGCCAGCCAAUAUCACCAGGCACCUAGCAGGCUGGGAGAUCAGUGAAAUUCCUGGCCAAAGCCUAGGUCUGUUCCUCCAGAGAAGGCUGGCCACGGCACUCCAGGCACCUAGCCAUUCACUUGGACGCCUGCCAGCUCCUCUGGGUUGGGCCAGAUGAAGAUUUGCCACAUUUGAGGCUCCUCUGCUACAAGUGUCACCUGGUUUACCUUUCAAAAGAAGCUGGGGCAGCAUCAAGGGCAAGUGCAAGACCAGCCCAGUUGGAGAAGACAACUGUGAUUUUAUUUAUUCGAUUUGCUAAGGAAGAUCUUUAUGUCUGUAUCUGUAUUUAUCAUCUUAUCUACACAUAUAUGUAUCUUUCUUUUUCUCUCUCCCUAUAUGUGUGUGUGUGUGUGUGUGUGUGUGUGUAUCUAUAUAUAACAUACAUAGAAUUCAGUUCCCACAACAUCACAACAAACUACACUUUAUACAUGAGGGAAUUGGAGUUUAAAGGAAUACAUGCCUUUGCCCAAGGUCACCCAGCUAGUAAAUAUUCGUACUACGAUUUGAACCUGGGAGUAACUUGUCCCAAAGUUUUUGCUCUUUCCCACUCUUCCACAUGGUAGAAAUGACAAAUUGGCAGGGAGUAUGUUAUGAAAAUCAGAACAGGGUGUUCUUCAGGAACGUGGCUAUUCCACAGUGUCAUGUAUGGGUACGAGACGGUAACCACCCCAGCCAUCUAAUGACUCCAGCCAGGCUGGACAAAUAUUCAGAAAUUGGCAUGAGCCGGGGGCAAACAAGUGGAAAGAGGACCCGGGCCAGUCCUGUGAGCAGACGGAAAGUUCUGUUAAUUAGAGACAGACCUCACUUCCUUUGACUAGCUAGGGAGGAGGGAAGAGGUGAGGCACAGGUAAAAGAGAACAACAGUAUUCAGGAAUGAAAUGAGGGAUCAAUGGAGGAAGGACAAGGAGGAAGGAAGUCUGAGUGAUUUUCAAGAAUGCCUUCUACUCUGAGUUGCUGGUAUGGAGGAAAGAGCACAGACUUCUUUUGGGCAAGUCCCUGAGUCCCAGUCUCCUUAUUUCUGAAAUGGGGCCAUAACAUUUAAUCUGUUGUGAGGAGUAGGGCUAAUGAACUUCGAAUAGCCCCCAGUGGGUACACCAUAAAUUGUGUGUCUUAUCAUUAACUUCCCCGCAGUGCUCUGCUUCUUGCCAGCUGUGCUCUAAGGAUGGAAAAGGAUCCUCUGCGGUGACUGCUUAUCAACAGGUGGCCUCCUAGAAAGUUGGAAGAGCCUCCCCACCCUCCAGGGUGGUGUGUGCCAUUUAGUUUACACCCCCUCUUUUCACAGCCUCUGGCUGCUCUGGAGAGACUGCCAUGCCUUUCCAUUUAUGAUCCUAAGAAUGUGUGGCUUUUCAGUCCAGUAUCUUUGGUUUAUGUGUUCUGUAGUGCCGGAAUCCUGAAACUAUGGUCUCACGGGAUGCUCCACAGCAGAGCGGAUGCAGCUCAGAGGCAGGGAGCAAACCCAGAAUCAGACAGAGAGGGGGGCGGUUGGAGGACAGAUUUCUGCAUCACUGGGCUGACAAAACGCUAAGGAAACAACACAAACAGUUGGUCAAGGAUCAAA